rnacentral:lncRNA from 1 species
CUACCGUACCUACCUACUAAUUAAUCUGCGCAUAUCCACACCGUAAUGUACUUACAAUAUUGCUCUGAUUCCUUCUUUUUAUGUUCUCACCUAAUUUCUCUCCCUUUAUUCACCUUAUAAACUCCCUCAUACUCUUCCUUAUACGAAUGUCCUCGCCUUUUACUCAACAUAUAGGUAAACUAACUUAUCUCUUCUCCCUAUGUAUUCCGUUAGGUGGUUUCUCCUGUACUUAUAUGUUACCUUUUUACAUCCGUAUGUUUACCCCAAAUUCCCUUCCCUAUAAUAACUGUAAACUCCCGUAUAUAACUUUAUUUACUCCCCUAUAAACUCCCUAAUGUACCUACUCGACCUUUAUAUUCCCUCAUGUAUAUUUACUAUAUGCUGCCUCAUGUACCUGAAUUAUUUACCUAAUGAAUGUGAAUAAUACUUGAAUUUUAGUACCUACACCAAAAUUAUUAAAUACAAAUUAAUUUAUCUGAGCAUUUUUUUUUUCAGAAAUGCAUUAUGAGAUAUUGUACACUCCUACCGGUAGGAGAAUCAUGAUGUUCCAUGACUACACCUUCUCAAAUAGUUGGAAGUCCAGGUGCUGGUAUUGCUCCAAACGGAAGGCCCGUAAUUGUCAAGCUAGAGUCAUCCUGGACAUCUACGGCAAUGUUAAAAGUUAUAAUAUUGAUCACAAUCAUACGUAGCGCGCUAAUCUGAUUGGUGCUAUCAGCCCCAGGCUGAUUAAGAAGAGAGAUGUAUGCUUCGUGGCUAUGAGAUUGAGAUGUGGCAGGUGCUGUUUACCCGACACGGUCUGUCCGUGCAUGGGUGACCAUCUUGUCAUAAGGAGUUCUUCCGUGGAUCAACCACACUGAGAGGUAAAAUACUUAGAACCUCGGGGCCCAAUGGCAAGUUAGAUUAGGUAGGUAAGAUUCAAAAUGACGUUAUAUGUAACAUAAUGAUUUGUGUGACAAAUAGGUGCUAUAUAUUUUGUAAGAAUGCUCAAGUGUAAAUCUCAUUCGGGGUGGCGCCACUGUCUAUGUAUGAAAACUCUUGUUUACCUUGCGUGAAACGAAACGCACAGCAAUGACAGUCGUGUCAUGUCAGGUUGACGGAUGACGGGUAAUGAAUAACAAAAAUAAACAAGGAGUGUAUUAAUUAAUUUGAUAAUUUAACUAUAUAUUAAACCCUAGUAAUAUUGUUGUUACGUGUGUACAAAUUCUUACUAAAUGUAAGCGGGAACAAAGUGACAGUGUCAGUUCGUAUAACAUAACCUAAAAAUGUGCGCGGAGUUUCAAAAACUUUUUGUUUUCAAGUGUUUUUUACAUAAUAUUUGGUGCGAAUACUACUAAUUCGUACUCAUAAAGUGUGUCAUUAUAUCCUGUUUUUUAAUACACGUCUGUAUUACCGGAAUUCAGCGGUGUCAUCAAGAUAUAAAAGCAUAAUACCCCGGUACAGUUGGUCAAGACAAGGCAACGCGAUUAUAAUACUAGGCGAGCAUAGAUUUAAGAAGAGGUCCAAACAUAUUAAUCAGAAGCACGAGACACAUUGGGUUUGUAACAAAUGCGAUAAGGGCUGCAAAGCCAAACUUACAACAAUUAAAGACGCUAUUGUUAAAAUGUAUAACAUACACGACCAUAGAGGCUUGAGGAAAAAUAAAUGAUAUUUAGCUUUAAUUUUAGUUAAUAUUUUAUAUUUAAAUCAUGUAAAAAUGUCCAUUCUUAACAUUAAUAAGUGCACUUAAAUGUUUAAUUGUUAGGCAAGUUUUACUCCUGUUGUAUUGUUUUAGAGAUUGCUAUAGGCUUAGAAGUCCCUAUAUACAACAGUGUUAUAUGUAUAAGUGGAUUAAACAAAUAUAUUGCAGUUUUUGACAUUUUUUCUUUAUUAUUUUCCCAGUUUUUUUAACAUGUCUUGUUAUGUAACCUCCAAAUUGUAGCACAUUUUUACUAAAUCCUGCUAAUAUUAUAAAUGUGAAAGUUUGUGAGAAUGUAUGGAUGUCUGUUUGUUAUUCUUUCACGCAAAAACGGAAAGUUCAAAUUGGUUGAAAUUUGGUACCUAUGUAUAACUGGAUUAACACAGGCUACUUUUUAUCAACACGCCAUGCGGGCAAAGCCGUGGGUGGAAGCUAGUAUUUUGCAUAUGUUUAAGUUAAGUUUUAAAUGUUACCGACCCAUCAACAUUAUGUACUCAAUAUUUAUUUUUUGUAUCAUUUGAUGAUGAAUUAUUAUAUUAAGAUAUAGAACAUUGUGACACCGAAUCAUCCUGUUUACAUUGUAGAGAUAGAAUUUAUUAAUGACCAAAUGUACACUUAAUAUAGGUAAAUCAUGUAUUUUAUAACGAAGAUUACAUGUUUUCAUGCAUGUUUUAAUGAAAUAGAAAUCAUAUAAAAUUAUUUACUUAUUCAAUGCAUUAUGACUUACGGCCUCAUAAGAAUAUUUUCUAUUAAAAUUAUAGAUGGUUGAGCUAUGGCUUAUUUUUAAUGUAUUACUAUUACCUCGUUAGUGCAUGUACAUUCCCAAUUGUUACCUGGUAAAUAAAUAACUUUCAGUUUUUUUUAUAAU